rfam:Aedes albopictus isolate Foshan contig101365, whole genome shotgun sequence.
UAGCCUAGCGGUUAAGGCUGUGGAUCGUCAAUCCGGAGACGGUGGGUUCGAAUCCCAU